rnacentral:misc_RNA from 1 species
UACGGAGGGUGCAAGCAUUAAUCGGAUUUAUUGGGCAUAAAGGGCGCGUAGGCGGGAAUGUCAGUCAGAUGUGAAAGCCCAAGGCUCAACCUUGGAACAGCAUUUGAAACUAUAUUUCUGGAGGGUAGGCGGAGAGAACGGAAUUCCACGUGUAGCGGUGAAAUGCGUAGAUAUGUGGAAGAACACCAGUGGCGAAGGCGGUUUUCUAGCUUAUGCCUGACGCUGAGGCGCGAAAGCGUGGGGAGCAAACAGG